UUGAUUUUUGUUACUAAUUAGUAAUCAUAGGCUAAAAUUGGGCUGUUUCUUUUGUAUUGGUUUUGGUUGAUUAUUUAUGGUUAUGGAAUGUAAUAUAUGGUUAUCUGAUUUUUCUUGUUUGAAACAGAAUCUUAAUUUUGACGAAAAUUAAAUUAGGUAUUUACCAGUAAAUUAUUUCACUUAAUGGGGGUGAUUGGUUGGGAUGUAGCUUUACAUUUUGUAAUGUGAAAAUUUGGCUAUUUAAGUUUUGAUGUAGAUGUAUUUGCUUUAGCUGUACAUUUUUCCUACAGCAUAUAAAAUAUUGCUUUAGAAAAUAGAGGGUUUACAGCCAUUUUUAAUAUUUUUUGCUCUAGCUUUAGAAAUUGAUUUAAAGCAUGAAUGGUAGUUUUAAAGGCUGUAAAUAAAUGUUAAAGUUAAAGUAGAUAUCUACAGCCAAACCAAUCAUACCCAAUGUUUAGUUUUAAAAUAAUUCCAUUACAAAUAUUUUGUAAAUAACACUAAAUUUUGAAGGAGGGGCUAUUGGGAGUUAAAUUUUGAAGGAAUUUUAAAAUUUGGAGAUUUCAUUGUUAUUGGUUUAUGAAUUCUUAAAAUUUUAUUAUAAUCCUUUGUUAUUGGUUUGUGAACUUUUAAAUUCUAUGGAAAUCUUAUGUUAUUCAAAAAGUUUAGUUUUUAUUGACUUUGUAAUUCUAUUAAACUCUUUUGUUAUUGAGACAUAAAUUCUCUCUAGUUUUACUCAUAAGAGUCAACUUUACAAAUAUCACAUAUAGUCAUAGGAUUCUCAAAAUCUAUGUAACAAAAACACAAAUACACAAACACAACAAGAUUUUUUUAUAUUUUUAUUGUCAAGUCAAAGAUAAUUGUAAAAAGAAAACUAAAAAUAAAAGAAAUUAUUAAAAAUAGCAAUUUCAAAAAUAAAUCUUUCAUGAAAUACAACUAUUUGAUAUUAAAAUAAAAUCAUGAGAAAAUUCAUAGGUUGAUCUUAAAAACUUUAAUAAAAAUCAAACAAGACAAAUCAAAAUGUCAAAAUAUUAAAAAACGAAAUUUUUUAUUUAAUUUUCAAAUAGUUCUAUUUUUGAAAGAAAUUUAAAUAAUAAUAAUAAUAGAAAGAAAAGUUUGGAAAGAAAAGUAUAUAUGAAAAUCUAUAAUAAUCAAUGACAAUUUAUACAAUACAUUGGGUAAGAAUUCAUGAAAUCUACUUAACUUUUUAAAAUCAAUUAACUCUUAAAAUUUUCAAACUCCACACAAAUUAUAUUUCCAAUAGGCCCCCUAAAUCAUCACCAAGAAACUAAAUCUAUCUACACUAUUAUUUGAAAAGUGAUUUCACUUAUUUUUCAUAUUCUCCAUAAUUUUAGGAUAAACCAGUCCAAUUAAUUUAUAUCAUAAAAAGUUAUUUUAAUAUAUAUAUCUCUUAUCAUAAUAUUUAAAAUAAUUAAUUAAUAAACAAAACUGGCAAAUUUUACCGAUCUAUAUAUACAAUUAUUUAAAAUAUUAUUUAAGUAUACAUUUUUGUCAUGGUAUUUGGGGCUAUUAAAUCAAUUAAUUAAUUAACAAUAGAUAUGAACAAAUUUACUGAUAAUAUCAUAAUUAGGUUUAUCUUAUAUUUAGUUUAUUAUUUUAAUGGUUAAUAUUAUAGUCAUACUUUAUUAUCAUGAUAUCUGGGGCUAUUAAUUAAUAAAUAGAUACUAACAAUAGAUAUUAACAAAUUCUACUGAUAAUAUCAUAAUUAGGUUUAUCUUAUAUUUAGUUUAUGAUUUUAGUGGCUAAAAUUAUAGCCAUUUUUCUGAUUCUUAUUGGAAAUAUUGAUCCAAAUUCAGAUUAUUACAACAUUAAUAUUAUAAUUAGGUUAUCUUAUAUUUAAUUUAUGAUUUUAGUGGUUAAUAUUAUAGUCAGGUUUUCUGAUUCUUAUUAGAAAUAUUGAUCUAAAAACAUAUUAUUUCAGUAUUAAAUUUAAUAUUAAAGUUAAAGCAUCAUUGAAAUAUAUGUCAUAGACUAUAAAUUAAAUACUUAUGCUAAAUAUUUAUAUAUUUUAAAUAUAAAUAAUCAUAUACCUAAAUAAACUAAUUUUUAUUUAUAACAAACAUCAAACUAUUUUUUUAAUCCAGAAAUCACAUAUAUUCAAAAUAAUACAUUUUAAACCAAAAUAGUAAGUAAUAUGUAAACAACAAAAUGAAAAUUAACCCAAAAUGUUUUAAAAAUAUCAAAGCAUGAAAAUAGGAUAAAAUAUUAAAUAACAUAAAAAUAAUUGACAAAUAAUAAACAUAAUAAAGUAUAUCUAAGAAAAUAAAAGGUAUUUUUUCAAUUUAUUGUUUUUUCUCAUGGUUUUUAAAAUCUAAAAUUUUGAUAGUAUAUGAUGUUUAUUCACUUUUGUUAUUUCACUACAAAAAAAAGAGGUGAAUUGUAUCACUUAAUUUAUAUCACAUAAUUAAGUGAUCCUAUUUUAAAUCAUUUAUUUGUAAAUGAGACAAAUAUAUAUAAUUUAGCAUCACUUCUAAGAAAGUGAUGUUUUAUUAAAUCAUUUGGCAUCAUUUUAACAAACGACAUAUUUUUGUUGCAAGUUGUAUCACUUUAACAAAAAAAUGAUACUAAAGUUAUAUCAAUUAUAUAAAUGAUGUACUUAUUUUGUUGUUGACAUCGCUUAUUAAAUAAAACCGAUGCCAAUAAUGUUUUUUUAUCAGAAAUAAUUAUUGUAUAAUAACUUCAGUUAUAGAAACUGAUGUAACCAUUACAAAACUAAAUAAAACAACCCACUAAAACCAAUCAGUUACAAAAUAUUUUAAACUUCAAAAUCCAGAGAUUACGUGAAGUAGUUACUCUAUAUUAUUUGAAUUUAACCUGUUUUUCUUUAAUUCAAUUAUCAUUUUAAAUUCUAUAACUGUUUACCUCAACCAAAAAUCUUCUCUAUCGUGAUCCUCAUUCAUGAGUUCUUCUCCUUCUCUCAAAUUUAAGCUUUUUAUUACUUUAAAAUUUUCAACAAAAACCAUUCAUUUCUUUCUUAAAUUGAGUUAACUUCUCUCUAUUUUUUUUUCUGUACAUUGUCGACAUUUCAGAUUGUGAUGACAAUGAGGUGUAUAAAGAGAAACGGAUGAUGAGACAUGACGUGUCCAGGGUUCUUGGUAUUUUUAAGGUUUCAAUAACAAUAGGGUUUGAUGCUGGAGUAUUAUCGUGUAUGGAGUACAUGAAAGCAGCACCGUGGUUUGAAGAUGAAGAGUACAAGACUGGCUCAUGUUGUCUGAGCUAUAUCUUGAAAAAGUAGGAGCAACAACCUUCAUGCCAUGAUCGAAGAUUGAGGAUGAAAAUAAAAUACAAGAUCAAGAAGAAGAGUAGAUCCUAGAUAGAAGAAAGUCAUGAUCAUUUAUUUUUAACUAUUUUUUCUAUAUAUUCCUUUAUCUUACUGAUUCAUUUGUAACGCUUCUUUUUUUUCUUCUUCGUCAUAUUAUAUUUUCAGUGGGAAAGAAUAAAAAUAGUCAAUGCAAAUGAUUUUUA